CAGUAUGUAUCAUUGAGCUAGAGCUGUAUAUAAAAGUAACUUAGAACUUUUGACAAUCAGUUAAUUCAAAGACAUCACACAAUACAGAUAUUAGACUUGACUCUAGUGAUAUAUCACGUGCGUUUCAAUUUUAUCAUCAAACAUUAAUUUAAUUUUCAAAAUGAAAAUAUUAUAUUUGUUUGUCAUAUUUGUGGCCGUUGCUGUUGCUUUCCCGUCAGGUGAAAGUGAACCAAAAACACAGCCAGAAUUGCAACUCGAACAACAAACAGAAGAAAAAAAUUCACUUCACUCAGUUGAAGCGAAUCCACCGAGUGACAAAACAGAGAACGAAGUAAAUCGGAAUAAACGAUUCAUCUUCCCGUUUAUAUUCGCCAGUGUUGUUGUCGACCCAGUUGUUUAUGAGCCAGUUGUUUAUGAAGUAGAAGAAGCUGUUCCGGUUGAAACAAGGACCGUAGUCAAAACAGUGAAAUCAGCUCCAGUUGCAACCAAAUCCAAUUCAGUUGUCAAAACAAAAGUCAGUGCACCGUUUGUUGACGUUGAUGUCGAUGUUUAGGUGCAGAUCGGCAUUUUAUUCCAGUUAAUUAGUUGUAACAAGCAGAUAUUCACCAAUAAAUUAAGAAAUAAAUAAAAGUAUUACCAAUUUGAAUAA